UCACUUGCAGGCACGCGCCUUGAAUCGUCGAUGAAGCACGAGAGCAAACCGAGAGCAGCCGACAGCUGAAGGUACGGCAGCGUCAGAUAGGUUGACCAAUAAACCACAUUGAAGAAGAGGAAAGAGAAGGGGAAGAGAGCUCUUGCAUAGAGGUCGACGCGUUUAGCAGCAGCAGCAAGCAAACCCCACUGCUAUCCGUAGGAACCAGCUAACCAGGACAGCGAGCAGAAGAAACAACCUGCUCUCCACUCCACACGACUGUUAGACGACGGCAGGUCUAGACAAGCAUCUCAAGCUACAUCUUUACGACUGGACAUGGCCAUUAUAUCAGAGGCCAGAGGGUUUUAUUAGUAAUAAAAUUGAAAUAUUCCCUGGGAAGAUUGUAAAGAAUGUCAAAGACAUAAAUACUGAGGACAAAAAUGUGAUUUAUUUAUUUUUCUGUUUUAAUGUGACCUAUUAUGCUUCCUUGAACAGGUUAGGAAAGGUGUAUGGGCUAUACAAAACACAUUCAUUAAAUUUUUUGCACUAAUUCAUUUUUAGAUAAUGAGAUUUUAAUCUGUUCAGUUUGGAUGUCCUUUCAGAAUGAGCUGUUUUAGGGCGUCUUGUCACUUUAAAUUCAAACGAGUCCCUCUGGGGAUUGCUGGGGGUUGCUAGGUAACGGGCUGAGCUCCUUGGGGGUUGCUAGGUAACGGGCUG